CAGAGUAGGGCUUUGUGCGUUAAGUGUCUUGUGAACGGGGAGUUGUCACAGGAACGAAAAGCAUAGCUUGCGAUACAAAACCCGCAUCCCGCUGU
rnacentral:ncRNA from 1 species